CUCGCAUUUUGCGGACAAUCACAUUACGUUGAGUUAAAGUUCAACGGUUUUUGAAACGAAAAAUUCAUUCAUCGUGGGCCGUGGCAAAUAUGAAACAAAGAAAUUGAACCCGCAGAAUAUUAUACAUCCUCUCCGCUUCUCGAUUUUGAACAGUACGUGACAGUACAGAUGGUACUAGGUAUUGUAAAAGUAUUAAAGUUUACAGGAAUACUGCUUAUAGCAGGUAUCAUUCAUAUAUAUAACUAUGUAAUAUUUGUUAUGAUGG